UCCGGGUUAGCUCAGUGGUAGAGCAGUGGACUGUUAAUCCAUUGGUCGUUUGUUCGAAUCAAACACCCGGAG
rnacentral:tRNA from 1 species